rnacentral:rRNA from 1 species
GUGAACGCUGGCGGUAGGCCUAACACAUGCAAGUCGAACGGCAGCACAGUAAGAGCUUGCUCUUACGGGUGGCGAGUGGCGGACGGGUGAGGAAUACAUCGGAAUCUACUUUUUCGUGGGGGAUAACGUAGGUAAACUUACGCUAAUACCGCAUACGACUUAGGGGGUAAAGCGGGGGAUCUUGGGACCUUGCUCGUUCGAUGGGGCCGAUGCCGGAUUAGUUAGUUGGCGGGGUAGGGGCCCACCAAGGCGACGAUCCGUAGCUGGUCGGAGAGGAUGAUCAGCCACACUGGAACUGAGGCACGGUCCAGACUCCUACGGGAGGCAGCAGUGGGGAAUAUUGGACAAUGGGCGCAAGCCUGAUCCAGCCAUACCGCGUGGGUGAAGAAGGCCUUCGGGUUGUAGAGCCCUUUUGUUGGGAAAGAAAAGCAGCAGGUUAAUACCCCGCUGUUCUGACGGUACCCAAAGAAUAAGCACCGGCUAACUUCGUG